UACGAGAGGGGCGAGCGUUAUUCGGAAUGAUUGGGCGUAAAGCGCACGUAGGCUGUCUAGAAAAUCAGAGGCAUCAAUUUCAAAGCUUACCUUUGACAUGUGUCUCCCCGAUUGCUAGACUUGAGUGAGUGAGAGGAAAAUGGAAUUCCUGGCGUAGAGGUAAAAUUUGUUGAUAUCUGGAGGAACACCAAAAGCGAAGGCACUUUUCUGGCACUCCACUGACGUUGAGGUGCGAAAGCGUGGGGAUCAAAAGGG
rnacentral:rRNA from 1 species